GUGUCAGCCGCCGCGGUAAUACGGAGGGUGCGAGCGUUGUCCGGAAUCACUGGGCGUAAAGGGCGCGUAGGCGGCGCGGUAAGCGUGCGGUGAAAGCCCGGGGCUCAACCCCGGGUCGGCCGUGCGGACUGCCGGGCUCGAGCACUGUAGAGGCGGGUGGAACUCCGGGUGUAGCGGUGGAAUGCGUAGAGAUCCGGAAGAACACCGGUGGCGAAGGCGGCCCGCUGGGCAGUGGCUGACGCUGAGGCGCGACAGCGUGGGGAGCAAACAGGAUUAGAUACCCUGGUAGUCC
rnacentral:rRNA from 1 species